rnacentral:rRNA from 1 species
AUUGAACGCUGGCGGCAGGCUUAACACAUGCAAGUCGAGCGAGCGGCGGACGGGUGAGUAAUGUCUGGGAAACUGCCUGAUGGAGGGGGAUAACUCCUGGAAACGGUAGCUAAUACCGCAUACCAUCAUAUGUGCCCUGAUGGGAUUAGCUAGUAGGUGGGGUAAUGGCUCACCUAGUCGACGAUCCCUAGCUGGUCUGAGAGGAAGACCAGCCACACUGGAACUGGGAAACGGGCCAGACUCCUACGGGAGGCAGCAGUGGGGAAUAUUGCACAAUGGGCGCAAGCAUGAUGAAGACAUGCCGCGUGUAUGAAGAAGGCCUUAGGGUUGUAAAGUACUUUCAGCGGGGAGGCGUUACCCGAAGAAGAAGCACCGGCUAACUCCGUGCCAGCAGCAGCGGUAAUUC